rnacentral:piRNA from 1 species
UGUUGAAGUAAGAAUACUAUUAGACUGAA